ACAUCAUACAAAGGGAGCUGCUAAUGGAAGCACUCGCGUUCAUACGAGUGCCCAUGGGAGCGGCUGAGAGGAAUGAUCCCAAUCAUUCGACCUAUAACCUGAUCUGGAUAAUGCCAGCGUAGGAACAAGUCAUACUUCUUGC
rnacentral:ncRNA from 1 species